CUUAAUUUAGUGUCACUUCAAUGUGAAUUAAGUUCUAUUUUUGCUGACAAAGACUUUUAAUCAUCAGAUCUCAGUAUACAGGCCAUGGGUUUGUUAUGACCUCGAUUUAUAGCUUAGAUUUGCUCAAAGAGCCUUACAUAGCAUCCUCUCAUGCCGCUAUUUCCACUGGUACCAACUAAUUAUGGAUGGGCACUUGGGGCUGCAGGCAGGGCAUGCUGCCUUGCAGUCGUCCAACGAUGGAUACUUUUGGUUGUUCGGCAGGGCCGGGCUGGAGUAACAAACACGACGACGGUCAUCGUCACACUUUAUUCGGAAGCAGAUUAUCAAGGAAAGCUUGCUCGAGUCAACCAGGGUACCAUUGCCAUUAUUUGUGUUUGUAAGCCCAACUGAGUAGUUCCUUCCUUGCAUAAGACGACCUAUUUCAUGCAAUUGUAGUUGUGCAUUAGUUGCAUGUAAACACACAUAUGGAUGGAAAAUCAUAAGAUCAGGUGUUGGCAGUUGUAUCACUUCGAGUAUGCUUAUAUACGAUUUCCGUUUUGUUAGAUAUAUCUCAAAAAAAAAAAAGAUACCUAGACUGGUUCAAGCAUGUUUUAGAAGUACCUCCAUAUUUGCACAUGUAAGCGAGGAUCUUGAUAAAAUUGGAAAAUACCAACUAACCAAAUAGCAUGUGGGGCUCAGGUGGUCUCAUCGACGCUAUAUAUACUUACACUCAGUUGUCGUUGCAAGGCAUACGAAAAGGAACAAGAAGAUUAUCAAGUGUGCCAAGCCUUUCUGUCUCAUAUUAUCUUGCCUUCGAUCUUCUUGAUUGUCACAGCUGUAUGGAUGAUGAUCGAGGGUCUGAUGGGUAUAGAGGGAUUG
rnacentral:lncRNA from 1 species